AGCGAACGCUGGCGGCAGGCUUAACACAUGCAAGUCGAGCGGGCGUAGCAAUACGUCAGCGGCAGACGGGUGAGUAACGCGUGGGAACGUACCUUUUGGUUCGGAACAACACAGGGAAACUUGUGCUAAUACCGGAUAAGCCCUUACGGGGAAAGAUUUAUCGCCGAAAGAUCGGCCCGCGUCUGAUUAGCUAGUUGGUGAGGUAACGGCUCACCAAGGCGACGAUCAGUAGCUGGUCUGAGAGGAUGAUCAGCCACACUGGGACUGAGACACGGCCCAGACUCCUACGGGAGGCAGCAGUGGGGAAUAUUGGACAAUGGGCGAAAGCCUGAUCCAGCAAUGCCGCGUGAGUGAUGAAGGCCUUAGGGUUGUAAAGCUCUUUUACCCGGGAUGAUAAUGACAGUACCGGGAGAAUAAGCUCCGGCUAACUCCGUGCCAGCAGCCGCGGUAAU
rnacentral:rRNA from 1 species